ensembl:snoRNA SNORD24 Small nucleolar RNA SNORD24
UGCAGAUGAUGUUAAAGAAUAUUUGCUAUCUUAUCAGCAAUGCAGACAGUAUUCCACCAAGAUCACUGAUGCA